GCGGCCGAUUAGGUUGUUGUUGGGUUAACGGCCCAACAAGCCUUUGAUCGGUACGGGUUGUGAGAGCAAGAGCCCGGAGAUGGAUUCUGAGACACAAAUCCAGGCCCUACGGGGCGCAGCAGGCGCGAAAACUUUACAAUGCGAGAAAUCGUGAUAAGGGAACCCCGAGUGCCCGUAAAUUCGGGCUGUCCAUCAGCGUAAAAAACUGGUGAAGAAAGGGCCGGGCAAGACCGGUGCCAG
rnacentral:rRNA from 1 species